GUGGACGCCAGUCUGCAUGGAGCCGACCUUGAAAUACCACCCUUUAAUGUUUGAUGUUCUAACGUGGACCCGUUACCCGGGUUGCGGACAGUGUCUGGUGGGUAGUUUGACUGGGGCGGUCUCCUCCUAAAGAGUAACGGAGGAGCACGAAGGUUGGCUAAUCCUGGUCGGACAUCAGGAGGUUAGUGCAAUGGCAUAAGCCAGCUUGACUGCGAGCGUGACGGCGCGAGCAGGUGCGAAAGCAGGUCAUAGUGAUCCGGUGGUUCUGAAUGGAAGGGCCAUCGCUCAACGGAUAAAAGGUACUCCGGGGAUAACAGGCUGAUACCGCCCAAGAGUUCAUAUCGACGGCGGUGUUUGGCACCUCGAUGUCGGCUCAUCACAUCCUGGGGCUGAAGUAGGUCCCAAGGGUAUGGCUGUUCGCCAUUUAAAGUGGUACGCGAGCUGGGUUUAGAACGUCGUGAGACAGUUCGGUCCCUAUCUGCCGUGGGCGCUGGAGAACUGAGGGGGGCUGCUCCUAGUACGAGAGGACCGGAGUGGACGCAUCACUGGUGUUCGGGUUGUCAUGCCAAUGGCACUGCCCGGUAGCUAAAUGCGGAAGAGAUAAGUGCUGAAAGCAUCUAAGCACGAAACUUGCCCCGAGAUGAGUUCUCCCUGAGACUUUAGGUCUCCUGAAGGAACGUUGAAGACGACGACGUUGAUAGGCCGGGUGUGUAAGCGCAGCGAUGCGUUGAGCUAACCGGUACUAAUGAACCGUGAGGCUUAACCUU
rnacentral:rRNA from 1 species